rnacentral:rRNA from 1 species
UACGGAGGGUGCAAGCGUUAUCCGGAUUCACUGGGUUUAAAGGGUGCGUAGGAGGGCAGGUAAGUCAGUGGUGAAAUCUCCAAGCUUAACUUGGAACUGCCGUUGAUACUAUCUGUCUUGAAUACCGUGGAGGUGAGCGGAAUAUGUCAUGUAGCGGUGAAAUGCUUAGAUAUGAACAUAGUAACACCAAUUGCGAAAGGCAG